rnacentral:lncRNA from 1 species
CUUGGCCACAGACUGAGUGAGGUUGCCCAGGAAACCCCAACCCAGACCAGCAAAAAUUAAAAUAAAAUAAAAAUCUAUUCCUCUAAGCCCCAGUCAACAUACAGGACAGAGUAGACAGUAAGGAAGCCAGAAGAUAGGAGUGAGCCAAUUGGGCAGUUAAGUUCAGACAGAGGUAGCUAGUUAUCAACGCCGAUUUCCUACCAGCAUCUCCUGGAUCUGUCCCCAGAAAUGACGACAAAUGACAAUAAGUGAUUCCAGUGUGCAGCCAAAAUAGAGGAACACUGCGCCAAAUCUGCCAGUGGAAGGAGCCUGUGAGGGAGUAGGGAGCAGACAAGAGGGAGGCCCCGAGAGACAGCGCACUAGAAACGUGUGGUUUUAUCUCAUGCACGACUUCCAUGGCCAACAUUUACUCCACUGAGAGCUUCUAACUCCACUCCGCCCUCGUGGGUGGAGCAGCGUUGCACCCAGGCUGGCUCACCUUAUGGUCCCAGCAUGGCCACAGAAGCUCUAGGACUCAAACCCGACUCAGCAAGGUGAAGAGGAAGAGGGAAUGUCUCUUCACUGCUUACUUAGGAGCAGUAAACAGUUCUCAAAAUCCACCCUGCAGGGUGACCCUCACAUCACAGUGGCUCCAGCUGUGUCACAUUUCCCAUUUCUAAUCCAAACACUGGCGAAGGGGUUACCCUGUUUGGUGUUGGUUACUCAGGAUCCUCCUCUUGGAGCUGGAAAUAAGGCAUUUGUCAAGAUCCUGGGGACGUGUCACAGUGCUAAGAUGCUGGGAGAGAGACCCACCUGGUCUUCAGUCGUCCAUCCACACUUGUGGCUGCUGACAAACUGCCGUUUCUAUUUGUGUUUCCCCUUCAGCCGCAUGGAUUCCUCUCUCGCCUUAGAGCACAGAAUCUGGAAGAAUCUAUACAGAUAGCUACUCUUCUACUUCCAGAGGCAGCUACAUAAUUUGCAGGAAAAAAAUGUCCAUUAAAGGUCCUAAAUAUAAAGCUUUUUCCUUUUUUUCUGCUCUCUCAACUUGCCAUAGUGUAUUUUAUUUGCCACUUAAUACUAAUCUAAAUAAAGAAAAAUUAAAAUAUUAAAUAAUUA